rnacentral:tRNA from 1 species
GCCCCCAUCGUCUAGUGGCCCAGGAUCUCGGUCUUUCACGCCGAUGGCACCGGUUCGAAUCCGGUUGGGGGUG